rnacentral:lncRNA from 1 species
AUCGAUCUAGCUGCAAGUCUUAGUUUUUUAUCUUCCUCUCAGAAAUUUGUUCAUCCCAGAAAGAUAAACAAGUUUCCCAGCAACCUAAGCUAAGCUAACACCACUUGCUGCAAUCAUAUAUCAAAAUUUGCAGAAGCUGUACAUGGAUCCAGCAAUAAGCAACGAGGUUUAUGUUCAUUCACAUGAAGCUUCGUCGGCAGAUGGUCGGGUCUGCAGGUUAGUUAUCUCUCCUUCUAAUUAGGUUUAUUCCUAUACGAGGCAUCUUACACCAUUUAUAUUCUCCCACCAUCCAACAUUUUUAAGCUGGUUUUGUUUUGCUUUCUUUGAUUCUUCUCCUCUUUCUUUCUAUGAUCUGUCAUUAACUUCAUAUAUUUUUCUCAAUAAGUGGUUCACCAUAUAUAUUAUAAUUUUUUUAAUCGCACCCCAUAUAAUAUAAUGUCUGAACAGAUCUAACAACCUGUCUAACUUACAUACAUAUAUGAUAAUUAUAUUUGUUGUUUUUGUUUUUUACUUGAAAGAUGCAUAUUAUGAGUUAUUGUCACCAGAGACAACAUGUCUUACUUACACCUUUACUUAGAUUAUACUAAUCACACAAUUUGUCAAACUUCAUUAAAUUUUUAGAUUUUUUUGGCUCGUACAUCUAUGGAUUUUAUUAUUGUUACGAAAACUUUAUAUGUUAUUAUAACUUGUUAAUUUUAAAAAAAAAUAACAUAAUGUAUUUUCGACAAAACAGCUUGUUUAAUCAUACAGUUUGUCAAAACUUGAAAAAUGUAAUAUAAUAAACUAUCAACAGAACAACUUAUCUUACUUACAUGAUGGUCAACCAUUAUCAUCAUAUCAUUUAAUGCACACAUGAGAAAAUUCAAAAAAAAUUUCUGUAAGUUUUAUUGGAUAUAUCCAUUUCUUCUAUUUCCUAGUUGCACGAAUAUUAGAAAAAUCAAAUGAAUUAUAGGCCAAAAUAGGUAAAUUGGCUGAGCCUUCCAUACAAAGAUUGGGGUGUUUGAUGUUUUGAAAAAAGAUCCAAACCGUUAAUUAAUUUUCAGAAAAGGACGCUUUUGUUGAGCUGUAUCAAGUAAAAGCAAAACCAAUAUUGUACAUUUAACUAAUGUUACUCAAUUUCCCAAUCUUAUUUUCCGACCCAAGUGACAUUGUGAGAUAACUUAUGUUGCUUAUUAAGCCCAAGUAAUUGACACAAAUAUCCAACAAGACUGAAGAGAUUUGCAUAUAAUUGGUUGACAAUUAAAUCACCUGAACGUGGAGGGGGUAAAGACAGCUAGAACAGUAACAUCAGAAUAAACAUUUGUUUUUAUUCCAAUUUUGGGUGACACGAAUUAUUUCAAGGGACCACUACUAUUUCUGGUAAAAGCAAGAUCUAUCAGUUUCAAUUCAAGUGACUAGAUGCGUAAUACUCAAUCUUAACCCAACAAACUUAAUUUGUUAAUAAUAUAGAUUACACAUUAUAAUAAAGGAAAAGACAUGUGGCAAUGUGUGAUUCGCUACUUUUAAUUUAAUGGUGCAAAUAUUAAGAUUCAACACUUUUAAUAUUGAAGGAAUAAUUUUUAACAUCUUCGUUUUCCCAACUCUCACUUCCAUCUUAUUUAACGAUUUAUUCAAUUAAUUAAUUAAUUUGACCAUCGGACUUCCUUCAUAUUGCCGGACUUUUGCUCUAAUUUUAAGGAAAUUGCCCAAAGUAAGAACUUUCAACUUCUUUCAAAUAUUUUAUUCUCUUUAUUGGAGUGAUUGAUUGUCUAAUUGAUUGUUCCAAUUCAUUUAUUUUCUUCUUCCGUAAAUAUUGCUCUCUUGCCCCUCCUUUCACUACUGCAUUACUGUAUAUGUAUGGUUUUGUAGUCUUUUGUUUGGGGAUCAAUCUCAACCCAAAUUACUUGCGUUUCAUUCGAGUCAGGCGGAACUUCAUACUCUGAAAAAACCGUACCCUCUCGAGUUCUGAAAUUCACAGUGUAAUCAUAUAUGCCGAAAAUUCCACCACACCCGCCCACGAUUUCCAGGUUUUCUCUGAUUCCGGGAAUAUGAAACUCUACGAACACGACCAAGUGUUCGCAAAUCUGAGAAAAGAACAAAAUAAGUUAUCCAUUAUCAUCUAACACAUUUCCUUGCAUUCUCCAUUUCAAUUUCAUUUUUUAACUUCCCUUGAUGACUUGAAUAUGUACAUUUUUAUUCUUAAUUAUCCAAUGAGUCAAUUUUAUUUAGCUACCAGUGCUCCUCUUUACGUUUCUUCCUUACUAUGUACUUUCUACUCUUCUCCCGUGUUACAAACGGUUUAGUGGAAAUCGAUUUUUAAAGAACUACAGCCUUUUCAUGCCAAUUUAUGGAAGAUUGGAUUUGAUUUUCUGAUAAAACGAAAAGGGAGGCGGAGACUCCAAUGAAAUUGAUUCAUUAUUAAAAACAAACAAUUCAUUAAAAAGUACGAGGAUGGUAGUUGGACGGAUAAAUUAGAUAAAUUUUUGAUUUAUUUAGUAAUAUUAUUCUGUUUUUGGGAUAAAUUUAGGUGUUGGUUUAAAAUGUUUAAUAUUUUAAAUAACCGACCAAUGAAUAAAUGUCAUGUAACAUGUAUACCUUGUACAUUAAUACAUCGAAGUCUAGAUCAUAUAAUAAAUUAAUAAUUAACGUUCAUAAUAAUAAGUUAUUACAACAAUUGCUACUACAUAAAGUCAUUUUAUGUGAUUGUUAACUUGGAAUUCUGCUCUGGUAUCUUUUUUAUUCUCUGAUGUUUGUGCAUCAGUUGUGUUGAACAAUGGUUGUACUUUUUUCUAAUCUUUAUUAAUACAAAUUAUAUGAACACAUACUGGAUGCCACAGGACACCUACACUUGAAUGUGGUAUGUGAAAACUCUGUUAAUUGAGAGCUCUGCUGAUUUAUUGUUUCUUUCCUUUGUUUCAUCUUCCCUUUAACUUUUGUAUCUAAUCUUUCUUUCUCAGCGUCACCACUUCCACCAGCAUCAUCUGUGCCGUCCUCUAAUCCGCUCAUCUCCUCCUUUUCAAGCUUCAUUGCUCCACUCUCUUCAUACUCCUCCAGAGAGAAUGGUAAUCCUCUGAAAACCCAAAUCCAAAGCAGCCGCGACAGAAACUAAAUGGGAAAUCGACGGGGAUGGCCACAGUAAAACAGAUAUGUGACGGGGAGGACAGCCGGGAAGGCCGCGGAGAAGCCAAUCGUCGACUACGGCCUUAGAGAACCAGAUUUAGGCCAUCGUUUUUCACUUUCUGUGACUUUAUAAUCAAAUCGCGG